rnacentral:rRNA from 1 species
GACAGAGGGUGCAAACGUUGCUCGGAAUUACUGGGCGUAAAGGGCGUGUAGGCGGGAAGGCAAGUCGGGCGUGAAAGCCCCAGGCUCAACCUGGGAACUGCACUCGAAACUGCCUUUUCUUGAGUGCCGGAGAGGAAAGCGGAAUUUCCUGGUGUAGAGGUGAAAUUCGUGGAUAUCAGGAGGAACACCAGUGGCGAAGGCGGCUUUCUGGACGGUAACUGACGCUGAGACGCGAAAGCGUGGGGAGCAAAACAGG